CCUACGGGUGGCUGCAGUGGGGAAUAUUGCACAAUGGGCGCAAGCCUGAUGCAGCCAUGCCGCGUGUGUGAAGAAGGCCUUCGGGUUGUAAAGCACUUUCAGCGGGGAGGAAGGCGGUGAGGUUAAUAACCUCAUCGAUUGACGUUACCCGCAGAAGAAGCACCGGCUAACUCCGUGCCAGCAGCCGCGGUAAUACGGAGGGUGCGAGCGUUAAUCGGAAUUACUGGGCGUAAAGCGCACGCAGGCGGUCUGUCAAGUCGGAUGUGAAAUCCCCGGGCUCAACCUGGGAACUGCAUUCGAAACUGGCAGGCUAGAGUCUUGUAGAGGGGGGUAGAAUUCCAGGUGUAGCGGUGAAAUGCGUAGAGAUCUGGAGGAAUACCGGUGGCGAAGGCGGCCCCCUGGACAAAGACUGACGCUCAGGUGCGAAAGCGUGGGGAGCAAACAGGAUUAGAUACCCGGGUAGUC
rnacentral:rRNA from 1 species